UACGUAGGGUGCGAGCGUUACUCGGAAUUACUGGGCGUAAAGCGUGCGCAGGCGGUUCGUCGUGUCCGAUGUGAAAGCCCCGGGCUCAACCUGGGAGUGGCAUUGGAAACUGGCGGACUCGAGUGUGGCAGAGGGGGGUGGAAUUCCGCGUGUAGCAGUGAAAUGCGUAGAUAUGUGGAGGAACACCGAUGGCGAAGGCAGCCCCCUGGGUCAAAACUGACGCUCAUGCACGAAAGCGUGGGGAGCAAACAGG
rnacentral:rRNA from 1 species